ACACAUGGAAGACCCCAGAAGAAGGCUGCUGAUUCUUGCUGGACAGCUCUUCUGGGAAUGGGAUGAAAAAUGUCUUCAGAAAAAUAGGUUUAGGAAGGCCAGAGGAACUUUAUGCACCAGCAAGACAUGUCCAAAAGCUCCUCAGGCCAAAAUGCAACUGAUCAGGAGACUUGUCCAUCUAAUUCAUCCUAUGGCUUCUAUCUGAGUGAGACACACACACCGUGGGCUCUCUCCAGGAACAGAACACCGUAUUCUCGUUCAGAUUCUGGAAUAUCAUCCCUGCUUCCAUCAGAUUCUUUUAAGUACCUCACUUGGCACAAAGUUGAACAAAAUGACAUCCAAGGAAGUCAACUGCGUUGCCCACGAGUAAGAGAAGGACCCUCUGCCGAAGAGCUGCCCUUCAGACAGGAGGGAUGUACUUUGCCUUCACAGAAAAGAGUCCUUGAAAAAAACAAAUGGGAAACGUGGCUGCAAGAAAACUGGGAGGACUGCACGAAUUUGAACCUUUCAUUUCAGGAUUUGGGGGACCCUUAUCAAGUUGAAAAUUUUAACAGGAUUCUUAGAAGACUAAUUCGAGUUGAAACCCUCUGGUUAGUGGACAAUUCACUGGUGGAUUUAAGUGCCAUAAGAUUGCCAAGUUGCAGAGUUUUAAAUAUGAACAAAAACCAUCUCACAUCUUUCAAACAAUUGCCAAAGAUGCCUCAGAUUCAGCAUUUAUCCUUGGCUGACAACCAUAUUGAGACUCUGAAUGGGCUGUCCAGUUUACGGCACACGCCACUGGAAUCCCUUAUGCUCAAGAGGAACCCUUGUGAAUUUCACCAAAACUACCGACAACGAUCCUCCAAUAAGAAGACAGCACAGUUCAAAAGAGAAAGGACUUAAUGAUAGAGCUAAUGGUGUAAGUCCCAGGAGAUAGAGGGCAGCCCACUUCUUGGGACACCCACAGAGUGUUCUCCUGUUUGCCAAACUUAAAAAUGCUGGAUGGGAUCCUGAAGCUACCAGAAGAUAUUUCACCACCAGA